AAUCUGGCUCCCAUUUUGAACUCCCCCCAAAAAAAAUUCUAAUAAACAACAGCAAAACUCUAGACAAACAAAUCAAAACCCUAGCUUCCAAUUUCACACCAAUGAUUUCCAACUCUUCGACCACCAUCGUUCCUCUGCCCCUCUAUCUCCUAUCUUACGUUUGUCAGAUUAUACAACGAAGUCCCUAAAUACAGCAAAGGAAGAAUCAAUGGAGUCCGUGACGGAGGCAAUGAGAUCUGCUUCGGUAAAUCAUACAACCCAUGAUUCCAUGAACGUUCUUCGUUUGUUGUGGUGUGUUUCCAUUCAAGUUCGGUCGAGUCAACACAACACCGACUCUGUCAGCUCUCUUUUGUCCAACUUUUUAGGCUCACAUUUCAUCUAUCGGUCGAAUCAAUGGAGUCUGACGGAGGCAUGAGUGUAACGAUCUUUAGGUAGUUACGCUUAAUCGUCUCGUUGUUUUUGAGAGUUACUUCGAUUAACUUGAUUUUGCAACGAUUGUAAUUUGCGUGAUGAACACUACCUUGUUAACUUUUUGAGUCUAGAGCUGGUGAUGGCUUCAAUAAUGCAACAGGGAGAUUGAAACUUGUAUUGAGUGUUCUGCAGCUAAUCUUGUACAGGAGCUGGCUCAAAUGAGGCAUCGUCUUAGAGGGCUAACGUGAUCCGCAAGCACAUGCAAGAAAUAUAUACGCCACAACAAGCCUGGUAGGAUUUUGGUAUAAUUGAGACCCAAGGAAACAGGAAACAUCUGAAGAACAUGGUCCUUGGUCUCCCUUGACUCCCAGCUAACGGGGCACCAGAAAGCACACGUCUUUGCCCAUCAAUAUUAUGGAUUGGUGUUAGGCCUUCUAGAUUUGGUUCUGUAUUUACAAUACAACCUUGGAGUGGUGUUACACCUGCAAUGGUUUAAACAAUUCCAAAGUUGUCACCGUAGGUACACUAAUUCUUGGCAUGCUUACAAGUGUUUAAUUAGUUUUAUAUGAUGCUCCACGUGCUGGUUCUUUGACAUCAUUCCUAUCCCCUCAUCUUAUCCGAGAGAAGGUGAGCGAUCACCAUUUCUAGAAUCGGAGGAACUGGAAUCAGGCAAAGGCAAGAAACAAGUGGAAGCAUAACCAGUGAGUUAUUCGUACACGUUUUUUCAUAUGACAUUUGCAUUGGCGAGCAUGUAUUCAGACAUGCUUUUAUUGGGAUUGAGUAGUUCAGAAAGCUCGGAUCUCGUUGAUGUCGGGUAGCUGGUCAUUGAUUGAAUUGUUCACAACUUGAAUCUGGUGGCUGGUCAUUGAUUUUGCAAUCAAAUCUUGGAGCAUUCCACAAAGACAAAACGACUUGAUAUAAAUUUGCAGCACUUUCAAGUGUAAAAGAAAUGAGUAUAUUGAUUUGAAGACAACAACCUAGAAUUAGUUCUUAGUUUAUGUGUAGAGGCAUUCCCUUUGCAACUUUGGUAGAUAGGUUUUGAUUAGAAGUUUGUCUUUAAAUAGUAUUUUGAAAACUUAUGUAUGGAUUUUGGCUUAUUAUUGUUAAUAUCAUUUGGUCUUUAGAUUUUCUCA